AUCGAAGUCGAUGGGGCUUUAUUUGGAAGCGAUGCUUGGCGUGUAUAUGGGAGCUCAAAUUGCGGCAAGCUUCUGGUCAUAAACAGGAGACCAGCCGUAGUGAGAACGGUGUUGGCGUUAGCAGCAGAGAGGGUUUUGGUGUGAUGGUCUGCAGCUCGCGAGAAAGCCCUGCUCGUUUGUUGCCUCACGAGUCGACGAAACUCUCCUUGGCUUCUGCUGUGUCUCCUUCUUCUUCUUCUUCAGGUACUCUACCGUCCUGUUAAUCUACGACGUCGCGAAUCACCACUGAAAAGCGACCAAGGCGCACGCUGCUGCGCACGGCCGUGGACGGCUCCUAGUGUGGGCUGGGUCUCGUCGACUCCAUCCAGUCGAGGGCGACUUGUCUGCUCGCCAAGGUCAUGUGGACACUCACGGAUCCGUCGAUGCGUCGUUCGCCUCCGAGACAACGUUCUGUGACGAAUCCACGACUUUACUCUCUUCUAUGCAGGGGUCGAGAGCUGCUGUGCUGCUGCGCCCUGGUCGUGCGCGGGAGCGAACGGAAACGCACGCUGCACUCCGUGGGCGUGCUCGUGACCCAUGAGGUCACGAAAAGCAUCACAGAGGAUAGCGUGCAUACAAGCAGAGUAUGGGAGAGCUUGGCGCUCGUCGUCCACCCAGUGCAUCUGGAUCCCGAAGAAGAGACGGAUACGGAGUGAAGCGUCGCUGUCCGUGCUGCUCCGCCAGGUACCGGAGUAUUCGAAGAAGGAUCCGGUGUCUCCGCGCAAGUAUGACGGACUCGAACAGGUCCACGAAAAGCGUCGGCGGCGCUUCUUCAGAUGUUUCUAGUCUCCAUGGAAGGCAUGGCGUGCAGCGCGUAGCGAGGCUUUGGAUACCGACGGAUCUCCAGUACGCAUGGGCGUCGUGAAAGCGUGACCUGGGUCACCAACGAGGCUCAUUUUCAACUGUUCAAGGCAGACGAGGAGAAAGUCGCUGUUGGGAGCGUGGAUCCGAGGUUGAAGAGCGCCCUUGUCGUCCCCGUGUAUGCAAAUGAGGCGGACGGCGCCGCCCAAGACCUGAAUGGCAAGCAGACGGAGCUGCCCAGCGCGUCCAGCACUUGGUAUGAUCGGGAGCCGCGCAUCACCUUGGAUGGCAUACGGCGAAGUACGAGGCGGAAUGACUGCGUCAGGACCUGAAAGUGAACGCGCUGAGCAGUGUGUCGAGCAGCGUGGGAUGGGUUUCCACUUUUAACUCAGAGCGCGCACGAGCGUCUGACCUGCGCAUGCGCACAGCCUUUGGCAGGAUUCCGUGAGACGGCGCUGGGGGGCCACCAACGGACUCGGUUGGACGGAGGCGAGGGGCGCGCACUCGCAAAGCUCCUGGACCAGUUGGAAAAGGGAGUACCCAACAGGUCGCGUCGAUUGCUGGAAGCCUGUGGCGCUGGAUGUGCUGUGGCACGCAAACGCUGGACUCCUGUGCGUACAGCGAGUGCAGGAAUCGAUGUUGCACGUUUCCUGUGGAGGACUAGAUGGCGACGCAGACGGAGCUCGAGUGCGGAUGCUCGUGCUGCGUCUACGUUGAGCGCCACUUGGGAAACAGGGCCGAAUGUCCGACAUGGGAUAUUGCGAGCGGACCUCGGACGUCGUAUUGCGAGGCAAUAGAAGCUGGCGGGCUCACUUUGGAAUGUCCGACAUGGGAUACUGCGAGCGGACCUCGGACGUCGUAUUGCGUAGCAAUUGAAGCUGGCGGGCUCACUUUGGAAUGUCCGACAUGGGAUACUGCGAGCGGACCUCGGACGUCAUAUUGCGAGGCAAUAGAAGCUGGCAGGCUCACUUUGGAAUGUCCGUCAUGGGAUACUGCGAGCGGACCUCGGACGUCAUAUUGCGAGGCAAAUGAAGCUGGCAGGCUCACUUUGGAAUGUCCGUCAUGGGAUACUGCGAGCGGACCUCGGACGUCAUAUUGCGAGGCAAAUGAAGCUGGCAGGCUCACUUUGGAAUGUCCGUCAUGGGAUACUGCGAGCGGACCUCGGACGUCGUAUUGCGAGGCAAUAGAAGCUGGCAGGCUCACUUUGGAAUGUCCGACAUGGGAUACUGCGAGCGGACCUCGGACGUCAUAUUGCGAGGCAAAUGAAGCUGGCAGGCUCACUUUGGAAUGUCCGUCAUGGGAUACUGCGAGCGGACCUCGGACGUCAUAUUGCGAGGCAAAUGAAGCUGGCAGGCUCACUUUGGAAUGUCCGUCAUGGGAUACUGCGAGCGGACCUCGGACGUCGUAUUGCGAGGCAAUAGAAGCUGGCAGGCUCACUUUGGAAUGUCCGACAUGGGAUACUGCGAGCGGACCUCGGACGUCAUAUUGCGAGGCAAAUGAAGCUGGCAGGCUCACUUUGGAAUGUCCGUCAUGGGAUACUGCGAGCGGACCUCGGACGUCAUAUUGCGAGGCAAAUGAAGCUGGCAGGCUCACUUUGGAAUGUCCGACAUGGGAUACUGCGAGCGGACCUCGGACGUCAAAUUGCGAGGCAAUUGAAGCUGGCAGGCUCACUUUGGUGUGAUUCCAUCGCAAGUCAUGUGUGCGGGCGCAGGCUCCGCUCCGAGCCAUGAACGUCUCGAUCAACACCCGGAAAAGUCUCGUGCCUGGGGGGCGUCUAUCGGCUAUGUGUAUCGAGCGAAGUUUAAAGCGAAUCGAUUCGUGCUCCGUGUGGGCACUGUGUUUAAAUGCCGAAGACUUGCGACGAAAAAGUAUGAUUGAGCAAGAGAGCGUGCGUUGAACGCUCGCCUGGAGCAAGGCACCGGUAUGGCACGAGUCGGCGAUUCAGCAAUGCUACCAUCCCGCCUAUGCGUAUGCCGGGCAUGAUUUUCCUGGGCCAUUGGUGAACGAUGAUGAUGAUGAUGAUGGUGGUGGUGGUGGUGGUGGUGGUGGUGGUGGUGAUCCAUGAUUCGAUAUACCUGACCAUACAGCUUGCAGACAAGGCACGUGCCCUUGAACAGGCGAAGCAGAAAAGCACAAUUGGUCUCCGGCGGUGGCAGCGGUAGCAUUUUCUGAUUCGCCAUCUCUGGCGAGGUGCUUUCUCGUCGAAGCACCAGUGCACGUCCGUGCACGAUUUCAAGCACUACCAAGAUGCGCACGUACGCUACUAGAAGGAGACUCGCCUAUCCAGUUACCCUGUGGGUGUCAGCCGCGACGCUCAAUGCACCACCGCUGCAGUUGUCACCCAGAGACACGCCAGUGUCUACAUUUCAUGAUAUAACGCUGACGCAUGCAACCGUAUUGCCGUGUGCUCGCAGGCAUCGACUCUACACUGGCCGCCUGGACGGGCGCUAGACGCACCGGAGCGUACACCCGACGACGCCGAAGCGCACCUUUCAGAUGCGUUUCUGUCGAGUGCAGCUGGAGGACGAUAACCGAGACUUGCUUCUUUUGUUUUAUCGCGCCUCCUCCGCAGUGAUUGCUUGAGAAUACGUCUGAGGGUGCACGCGUACGUCAGCAUUCAUGACCUGGUUGUUCUUUAGUCCACAGCGAAGUUUCCUGCACUCCAGAACGCUUCGCGAAUCAUGCGUGCCACUGGUACCGCAGUGCGCGUGCUGAUACUCUGCACGGUAAGCCAUGCGACGCUUCAGCAGCACGCUCUGCACGUUGUCCUCUUCAUUCCUCUUUCAGCAAGCCUACUGAACCAGUGUUGACUCAUUUACCAGUGGUGCAUCACCUCUGGUUCAUUUCCGGUGCACGUUACUGCAUUCGUCGCGCUUCACAGACGACCGUCCGCGUCACGACGUCAACAGACGUGUCCAUAAACAGG